UAUAGCAUUCGGUCUGCACUAACUAUGAAUAUCAUUAAUAUUAGCCGCGCCUCUAACCACAAAGCUCAGCUUGCUGCAGAGAGGGGAGGGGCUGGGAAGCCAACAAAAUGCAUUACGUAAGGGUUAUACAAUCUGAUUGGUGCAUAUGCAUUCCUGAAUGCAAACUGCUUACGUAACGUAAUCACUCUGCAAUCUGAUUGGUGCUGCAUGAUUUUCUGCAGCAGAACGAAUGCUAUAUAGGGCUGCUACCCGUAUCCCCUUUGGAGGCGGGCCACGCCCAUCUAUGCAGUAUAGCCUCGAUUCCAAGCCGCUGAGAAAGGCGGCCUGGUAUACACUGUUUACGCAUGCGCCAGAAUUACCCAGAACCUGGGUAAUCGUAAAUUGCAGUAUAAUUAUUUAUCAGUAUUCUUAUUCCGCAUUAGUUUGUAAAACAUUGAUAUCCGUUUCAUUUAUAAUGAUGUCAUUGAAAAAAGAAAUCUAGUCCAAGUUGUGUAAUGGCUGCUACCUUCUCUUCUGCUCUCGCGUACGUGUUAUCCUGUGUUGGAAAACCAGGUCUAGUCUUGAAAGACAAGCAGCUGGAGGCGUUGAAGUGUCUGUACGCUGGUGUUUAUGUGGGUACCGUACCGACCGGCUAUGUCAAGUCCCAGAGCAAGUCCAUCUGCUUUCCAGACACUCCCUUUCUUGAUUGAUGUGAAGCUUGACAGGACUCUCUCUGAAAGAAGUGUUGUGAUGGUGAUUUCUCCUCUUGUUUCUCUGAGUGAAGCCAUCUUCAAAGUGUUGGUGUGUCUGUUCGACGUUCAGUGCCAUGCUCUCUGGAAGGAAGUAUUGUUGUGACAUUUGCCGAAAAUUGGUCACAGAGUAAGUACGUGGUAUCUGAUCCAAGAACUGUGUGGCCUGAAUGUGUUUACAAUCCGAGGGACUUGUGUGUAUCCGAUCCGAGGGACUUGUUGCUUGAGUGUGUAUCCGGACUUGUUGCUUGAGUGUAUUAAUGGAUAGUGCUUUCAAUGGUUUAAACUAAUUUCUUAUGAGAUUAACUUGUCGCCUAAGUGUGUAUCCGAUCCGAGCCUCAAGUUAAUGAAUAAAUCUACAGAGCUGAUGUUUUACUUAGCUGUCUCUGUCUACAGUAUAUACAGAGAGGUAGCCUCUUCUUUUUCUUUUUUCUGUUCUUUAUCACAAUAACUGUUUUAACGUUCAA